rnacentral:rRNA from 1 species
GAACUGAAGAGUUUGAUCAUGGCUCAGAUUGAACGCUGGCGGCAGGCCUAACACAUGCAAGUCGAGCGGAUGAAGGGAGCUUGCUCCUGGAUUCAGCGGCGGACGGGUGAGUAAUGCCUAGGAAUCUGCCUGGUAGUGGGGGAUAACGUCCGGAAACGGGCGCUAAUACCGCAUACGUCCUGAGGGAGAAA